AUUGAACGCUGGCGCAGCCUAACACUGCAGUCGAGCGGAAACGACUUAACUGAACCUUCGGGGAACGUUAAGGGCGUCGAGCGGCGGACGGGUGAGUAAUGCCUGGGAAUAUGCCUUAGUGUGGGGGAUAACUAUUGGAAACGAUAGCUAAUACCGCAUAAUGUCUUCGGACCAAAGAGGGGGACCUUCGGGCCUCUCGCGCUAAGAUUAGCCCAGGUGAGAUUAGCUAGUUGGUGAGGUAAGAGCUCACCAAGGCGACGAUCUCUAGCUGGUCUGAGAGGAUGAUCAGCCACACUGGAACUGAGACACGGUCCAGACUCCUACGGGAGGCAGCAGUGGGGAAUAUUGCACAAUGGGCGAAAGCCUGAUGCAGCCAUGCCGCGUGUAUGAAGAAGGCCUUCGGGUUGUAAAGUACUUUCAGUAGGGAGGAAGGUUCAUGCGUUAAUAGCGUAUGGAUUUGACGUUACCUACAGAAGAAGCACCGGCUAACUCCGUGCCAGCAGCCGCGGUAAUACGGAGGGUGCGAGCGUUAAUCGGAAUUACUGGGCGUAAAGCGCAUGCAGGUGGUUCAUUAAGUCAGAUGUGAAAGCCCGGGGCUCAACCUCGGAACCGCAUUUGAAACUGGUGAACUAGAGUGCUGUAGAGGGGGGUAGAAUUUCAGGUGUAGCGGUGAAACGCGUAGAGAUCUGAAGGAAUACCAGUGGCGAAGGCGGCCCCCUGGACAGACACUGACACUCAGAUGCGAAAGCGUGGGGAGCAAAC
rnacentral:rRNA from 1 species